ensembl:snRNA U6 U6 spliceosomal RNA
GUGCUCACUUCGGCAGCACACAUACUAAAACUGGAAUGAUACAGAGAAGAUUAGCAUGAC